rnacentral:rRNA from 1 species
AUUGAACGCUGGCGGCAUGCUUUACACAUGCAAGUCGAACGGUAACAGGCCGCAAGGUGCUGACGAGUGGCGAACGGGUGAGUAAUGCAUCGGAACGUGCCCAGUCGUGGGGGAUAACUACUCGAAAGAGUAGCUAAUACCGCAUACGAUCUAUGGAUGAAAGCGGGGGACCGUAAGGCCUCGCGCGAUUGGAGCGGCCGAUGUCAGAUUAGGUAGUUGGUGGGGUAAAGGCUCACCAAGCCAACGAUCUGUAGCUGGUCUGAGAGGACAACCAGCCACACUGGGACUGAGACACGGCCCAGACUCCUACGGGAGGCAGCAGUGGGGAAUUUUGGACAAUGGGCGCAGGCCUGAUCCAGCAAUGCCGCGUGCAGGAAGAAGGCCUUCGGGUUGUAAACUGCUUUUGUACGGAACGAAACGGCUCUGGUUAAUACCCGGGGCUAAUGACGGUACCGUAAGAAUAAGCACCGGCUAACUACGUG